UGAACUGGUGCUGCGGAUGAACAGCCGUGCCAUGGAACCCUGUGCACUCCGCUCCGAAGGAAUCCGAGGCCCAUAGUGCAAGUAGCCGUUCGAGCGACCAUGAUGAGUACGGAGAGCCGUGUCAGACAUCCCCUUUGAAGACCUGCCCUGACGAGGAAACCAGGAAGUUAGUAGUUUCCGAGGCUUGCCUCAUGAAGCUGCUGAGCUGCUGCCACGUGUGCCUGAUCCCUGUCAUACCUCAACUUACUGUCGCGGGAUCAUGUGUCCUCCGCGGUGCUCUGCGCAGAUCGUCAUGUGACAGCACGGCAGAGCCAGCCGAUAUGGUGCAGUGUACUGACUGCAGCUGGCACUGUGUUCUCCGGCGAUGAAAGAUGGAAGUCACUCAAAAGGUUAGCCAGCUGUAGGACUUGAACCCCCAUCUUCUGGAUUACUGGUCCAGGGUUCUACCAGUUGGGCUAAGCUAACACACCUCCCCAGCGACUUUCAAGGGGACCGUGCGACACCUAAAGGGGGCGCGCUGCUCCGUCGCGACAGCGCCGCCAGUGGCGGUCUUGGACGUAUCCGACGGGAUACCACGCCGCCCGUGCUCUAUGCAUUCUCAAGUGGAACCGUAGCUUGCGUGGCGACCGCCGUAAUUACAAGGGCUAAUUUUCGAAGUGCAAAUAAUGUGGAACCUUUCUGGGGCACGAACUAAGUGAAUGGAGACAAACUGCACAGAAGCAACCACCGUAUUUAUAAUGCAUCGAACAGUACGGAAGGAGAACAGCCACUCGCGUCUGUCCGAUCAAAACACCUGUAAGUGAUACGUCGAGAGGAUGGUUACUUGACUCCUCACAAAAUCCUGGCUUGCUAGCGAAGGCAUAUACGUGUAUUCCUCUGACUCCAGCCAUUUGUAAUAUCAUGUUUCUGACUGAGUCUUCUAUUUCUUUCGUCCUCCUUGCACACACCUAGCUUCGUCACUGAAAUUUAUAUCGUGCGUCUGUUUUAUCCAUACAAAUAAACACGUGGGGUCACAACUUAUUGCCUGAACUUGUACUGCAGUUUUUCCAGUAUCUUCAGAUACAAUAAUGCUAAAGAGAUCCUCAAAGAAGAAAGUAUAUGAGUUCUUACCUUGGCUAUCGCCGUAGGCUUGCGGGACAACAGCUGUGAAAUGGUUGGUGAGUAAAUACUAAACCUUUUGGACAACGUAGAACUUCUGUUCUCACUGUGAGACUCGUCAUGCCGGAAGCAGUAUCGGCUCUGGGCACUGGCGAUGAAAAACCUCAAUCAUUAUCUUGAAGUAGGUUGCCGUUUGGUCGGUGCAUUUGACGGUGAUAUCCAGCGGCGUUUCACCGUCACGAAAGUGGCAGCUGUAAAUCAUUGAUUAUUUUGCAGGUCCUCAUUCAGUUUCAUUGAAACUAGAACAAAAGAAAUAGAAUAUAUUGGCUCAUGUCGUGCACACCUCAUACAAUGGCCAAAUGCGCGUCACAAAUGCUAUUAUGGCGCGCCACCAACGCUGGUAUUGGAAGCGUAGAAAUCACGAGAAAUUAAGCAUCUGGUCCCUAAUGAAGAGUUCUUUUAGGUGCUGGCACAGUUAGCGAUGCUGUGGCAAAAAAAGAUGCCCGCACUUCACAUGUAAACAAAGCUGGCUACCCGGCGGCUAUCAUGCAAGGUACUUUCUCCGGAGGCCGCAUCGCAGCGCCACCAGUUUGCCGCACAGUCCCUAUACACGCAGUCAUACGACGGGAUCGACGCAAGCGGCAACUGUUGUGUGUAUAAGUGAGAAAAUUGUAGGAGUGAGAGGGGGUUCAGUGAGCGAGAGUGUGGUUGAUGUGUCCGUUCAGAUUACGUGCCCUUGAAAGUCGCUGGGGAGGUGUGUUAGCUUAGGACAAUUGGUAGUGCCCUGGACCGGUAAUCCAGAAGAUGUGGGUUCGAGUCCUACAACCAGGGUGUCAAACCGCAAAAAAUACGGGUUCGGUUCGGGUUCGCGUUGUUUUGAUUUCGUUCCGGUUCAGUUCCGGUUCGGCCAGGCCAGAAAUUGAACCGGUUCGCAAACCGGUUCGCAGCCCCGAACCGGUUCGCGAACCAGUUCAACGCUUCCGUUAUAUAUGUUCCAUAAAACUGCUUUUAUCAGGAAAUGCGUGGCUAAUAGCAUACUGCUGUUGUCUGCAUUGACGUCUCUAGCGGUGAGGUAGCCCUUUAGUGAGAGAAAUGAGAAAUGGAUGAACACUUAUUGCAACUAGAGUUCACGCUGUUGAAGCGGUGUAGUCCUGCUACUUUCUGUUCCCAAAAUAUCUUUUUUCACACGCACAGUGCCAGCAAGAUACACUUAAAGGAAGCCUAAUAAGAUGGACAGCGUAACAUAGACGACAGUACUUGCUGGCACACUGCCUUCGCAGCGUGAAUCGAUCUGAAACCGUACUGAAAGAUGUCGAAAAUAAGCCUGCAAGCCUUACUCUGUCCGAGCUCACAGCAGUGUACUUGUUAAUCCACAACACAACGGCAAUGUGUCACGACGACACAACUGCGCUACCAAUAAGCAGAACCACAUUUACUUUUCAAAGCACGACCAAUCAACCAGGCACCGUUCUGUGUACGCUCCUUCUCCAGUUCUCAUGUUUCUGACUUGUUUAAUUUGUGCUGCUUACGUGUAAAGGGAAAUCUUGGGCGCUUAUUUGAUCACAUAUUCGUCCUGUAGAGCUAUAUAACUGGCCUACUCCAUUCGUGUUUCAUUCGUCCGCGUGGCACCUGGUCUCUGAAGAGUAGACGCCGCACCGCGUGCGUGGGGCGCUAGCCGCGGCACUCACAAGGACAACUGCGCUUCAACAUGUUAAAAAGACGCUGAAAGUAUACUUACUAUACGUCGUCGUCUGACUGCUACGUGAACAUUUCUGAAAUUUAUGAUAUAGGCGCGUGAUGAUGAUACCAAUGUGUCUUCGUUCGGGGAUAGAGAGGAACUCUUACGCUGACUUCUUUUAUGUCCGAACCGUGUUGUUGCGAACCGGUUACCGCUAUUAUUUUUUACGGUUCUGCUCCGGUUCGGGUUCAACAGUGUCAUGAAAAUUUCGGUUCGGGUUCGGGUUCGGUUCCGGCAAAAAUAACGGUUCGGGUACGGUUUUCGGUUCGGGUUCGGGUUCGGUUCGACACCCUGCCUACAACUGGCUAACCUUUUCAGUGACUUCCGUCUUUCAUUGUUAAUCUCUUAGGCAGAUUGAGGCUUUGUAUGUAUUUGUCCUUUUGUGUGUUGUUCCAACCUCAGAACAUCAGUUCUCUCUGUUACAGGCGAGGCGCAUCCAAGCAAGGCGCAGCACAUGCCACGUACCAUUGGUAUCGCUUGGUUCCAUGACUGGUACUCCUACAAGUUGCACUUGUACCGGUACUUCUUCAAGUUGUUCCCUGCAAUACGUGAGGUAUGGGAUGGACAGCGGCAGAAGCAUGUAGCUGCCUCAUACGGCUCCCCUGUUGCCCUUGCUGGAGUUGGCAGGGCAGAUUCUCCUGGCUUCAGCACGGGGUAUGGGUCGUGCAGUUUCCUGGACCUCAGCACAACAGCUACGAUUCAUCUUGAGCUAGUUCAGAUGCUUUUGACAGAUUCAUUUCGGUGAACAACACAGAUGAGCCAGCACACAGACGACGUGGGAAAAUGAACGAUACGUCGUGGAGAUGUUGAACGACAUCAAGCAAUCUAAGCUAAAGUGCGUUGAAGAUCUCUUUACUGACUUGCGUUUACUGUGAAACACGGCGUACACUUCACCCAUACAACUCCAUCGUCUGCUCCGUGGCAGUGCAAGCUUUUACAGCUGUUCCCUUGAAUGUAAAAAAUGCUGAAUGAUUUUAAUAAAUAAUCUGC